rnacentral:rRNA from 1 species
AUGCAAGUCACGGGGGCCCGCAAGGGCAACCGGCGAACGGGUGCGUAACACGUGAGCAAUCUGCCGAUUUCUGGGGGAUAGCCGGCCCAACGGCCGGGUAAUACCGCAUACGCUCGUUGAGAGGAUUCUCUCGGCGAGGAAACCUCCGGGGGAAAUCGAGGAGCUCGCGGCCUAUCAGCUAGUUGGCGGGGUAACGGCCCACCAAGGCGAUGACGGGUAGCUGGUCUGAGAGGAUGGCCAGCCACUGGGACUGAGAAACGGCCCAGACUCCUACGGGAGGCAGCAGUGGGGAAUCUUGCGCAAUGGCCGAAAGGUUGACGCAGCGACGCCGCGUGUGGGAGGACGCCCUUCGGGGUGUAAACCACUGUUGCCCGGGACGAACAUCCCCUUUCGAGGGGACUGACGGUACCGGGUGAGGAAGCACCGGCUAACUCCGUGCCAGCAGCCGCGGUAAUACGGAGGGUGCGAGCGUUGUCCGGAAUCACUGGGCGUAAAGGGCGCGUAGGUGGCGCGGGUAGUCGUCGGUGAAAGUUCAGGGCUCAACCCUGAAUCGGCCGGCGAUACUCCCGUGCUUGAGUGUGGUAGAGGCCAAUGGAAUUCCGGGUGUAGCGGUGGAAUGCGUAGAGAUCCGGA